UAUCAAACGGCUCUUCUUCUUCUGUGUCCGUCGUCGAUAUUCUUUGGGGCUUUCGAUGCAUUGUCCUUUGUAAGUUUUAAGAAAGGCCACAUAGGCUAUUGCAUGGGAAAUAGGGAUGUGGUCAAGGAAAAGAAAGUACACCUUUUCUCAAGAGCUCUGAUUUUGGAAAGUCAGCAUUUGACACUAAUCAGAAAGGAAGUAGAAUAACAUCAUGUAUUGCAACUCUAGAGAAUGAUAUCACAGGACCCGGUGAUGGAAAAAUUCAAUUCAUCUGUGGAAUAUAAUGCAGGCUUGUAAAGAUAAAAGCCAGGAGGACUUGAGGUUUUAGGACUACCAGUUAGGUGAUAAAGGAAAAGAAAGUACAACACCCUCUGCUCAAGAGAUCUAGUCUUGGGAAGUCCGCAUUUAGUAUUAAUCUGAAAGGAAGUAGAACAACAUUAUUUAUUGCAACUCCAGAGAUAGAUUGCACAGGAUCGGAGGUGGACAAGUUCAAUCCAUUAGUGGAAUGCAGUCUUAUCAAGAAAAAAUCCAGAGGGAGUUGAGGUUUGAGGACGACAGUUAGGGUGCACAGCAGCUUUGGAUGCUGAACAUUACUUGCAAGAAAUCGGUGCCCUAGAGGGGUUUUACUUUCCGAGAAUCAUGGAAGUGAAUCCAUCACCAGUUACGCCUCCUGCUGAAACACUACCUUCAGUCCAAAUCUUGGUAGAGCACCCAAAUUUGGCAACAUCCAUCCAGUACGGAGUUUCUAAUUUACCUGAACAGAUCUCAGAGAUUAAAGUUUCAAGGUUAGCAAAACUAAAACAAAGUAUUCCCCGUGUAACUUCAAUGACGCAACACUUGAGGCAGAGGUGGAUAGAACUUACUCUUGAUGCCACAAUGGAGACAUGGACCUUGUCUACCCAUAAGAUCUGAUUAUGAAUUAUUCAGUUCAAAUCAGAUAGAAUUUGCUGCUGCUUACUUUUAGAGUUCGAUUUGCUCUCAAAAUCUAAAAUGCUUGAGUGAGGUGACGGGUGAGAGAUGAAGUCCGUACAGGUGGCUUUGUGACUGAUGAUUGGAUUAGUUUCUUAUUUGGUACAUAAAUCUUAAGCAUAACUGAAUCAAGUGUCCCGUAAAGCAUGAGACUAUUGAUAAACAUAAAAGACGGGAUAUAAGCGGUCAAUAUAACUUAUGCUUGAUGCCACAAUGGAGACAUAGACCUUGUCUACCCAUAAGAUUUGAUAAUGAAUUAUUCAGUUCAAAUCAAUUUAAAUUUGUUGAUGCUAACUGUUAGAGUUCGAUUUGCUCUCAAAAUCUAAAAUGUAUGAGUAAGGUGAUGGGUCACAGUUUAUAUAGACAAAUAAGAAUUUGGUAGACUAUUGUUGGUCCUUUUAUGAAAACUAGUUUUUAGACACAUGUGUUGCACGUGAUUACUAAUUCAAAAAGUAUACGUUAUAGUAAAUAGUAUUUGUUUAUUUCAGUGAAGAUUUGAAUAAUAAAUUUUUCACAAAAUAAAAUUGUAGAUUUUUUUGUGAAUGUGCAAUGUGGAUCAUCAUAUAUAUCUCUUAUUCACGCGAACCCAUAAAGAUAGUAAUUUUAUUACUUAAAUACAUAUAUUUAUUUCAAUUUGUUGAGGUUCAAUCAUGUAAUUGGUUGUAUCUCAAUAAUAUUACCUUAUAGACGCUAUGUAUUGUAUAUUUUUUCUUGUUAUCUAAUCAAAUGGUUGUCAAAAGAUUAAAUAAUUGGGAACUAAAUGUGCAUGGAUGGUAGGAAUUGGGGACCAAAUCCAAAAUUUAUCCCAAAUGACAGCAGUUCAUGUCGGACUGAUGGUAGAUGUACUGAAAAUUAAUUAACAUUUGGCUCGACAGAUGAGAAAAUUAUUGUACUCUAUAUUUUACUUUUUAACGUAUUCACCAUUUUAUGGAUAUUUGGGUAUUUAGUGUUUCGGCACGUGAGUCUUCAAAAUGUAUUUGCUGAUCAUCAAGUACAUAAAUCUUAAGCAUAACUGAAUCAAGUGUCCCGUAAAGCAUGAGACUAUUGAUAAACAUAGAAGACGGGAUAUAAGCGGUGAAUAUAACUUAUGCUUGAUGCCACAAUGGAGACAUAGACCUUGUCUACCCACAAGAUCUGAUAAUGAAUUAUUCAGUUCAAAUCAAUUUAAAUUUGUUGAUGCUAACUGUUAGAGUUCGAUUUGUUCUCAAAAUCUAAAAUGUAUGAGUAAGGUGAUGGGUCACAGUUUAUAUAGAGAAAUAAGAAUUCUGUAGACUAUUGUUUGUCUGUUUAUGAAAACUAGUUUUUCGACACGUGUGUUGCACGUGAUUACCAAUUCAAAAAAUACACGAUAUAGUAAAUAGUAUUUUUUUAUUUAAGUGAAGAUUUGAAAAAUAAAUUUUUCACAAAAUAAAAUUGUAGAUUUUUUUGUGAAUGUGCAAUCUGGAUCAUCAUAUAUACCUCUUAUUCACGCGAACCCAUAAAGAUGGUAAUUUUAUUAGUUAAAUGCAUAUAUUUAUUUCUAAUUGUUGAGGUUCAAUCAUGUAAUUGGUUGUAUCUUAAUAAUAUUACCUUAUAGACGAUAUGUGUUGUAUAUUUUUUCUUGUUAUCUAAUCAAAUGGUUGUCAAAAGAUUAAAUAAUUGGUAACUAAAUGUGCAUGGAUGGUAGAAAUUGGGGACCAAAUCCAAAAUUUAUCCUAAAUGACAGAAGUUCAUGUUGGACAGAUGGUAGAUGUAUUGAAAAUUAAUUAACAUUUGGCUCGACAGAUGAGAAAAAUAUUGUACUCUAUAUUUUACUUUUUAACGGAUUCACCAUUUUAUGGAUAUUUGGGUAUUUAGUGUUUCUACACGUGAGUCUUCAAAAUGUAUUUGCUGAUCAUCAGGUACAUAAAUCUUAAGCAUAACUGAAUCAAGUGUCCCGUAAAGCAUGAGACUAUUGAUAAACAUAAAAGACGGGAUAUAAGCGGUGAAUAUAGCUUAUGCUUGAUGCCACAAUAGAGACAUAGACCUUGUCUACCCAUAAGAUCUAAUAAUGAAUUAUUCAGUUCAAAUCAAUUUAAAUUUGUUGAUGCUAACCGUUAGAGUUCGAUUUGCUCUCAAAAUCUAAAAUGUCUUAGUAAGGUGAUGGGUCACAGUUUAUAUAGACAAAUAAGAAUUGGGUAGACUAUUGUUGGUCCUUUUAUGAAAACUAGUUUUUCGACACGUGUGUUGCACGUGAUUACCAAUUCAAAAAAUAUAUGUUAUAGUAAAUAGUAUUUGUUUAUUUAAGUAAAGAUUUGAAUAAUAAAUUUUCCACAAAAUAAAAUUGUAGAUUUUUUUGUGAAUGUGCAAUGUGGAUCAUCAUAUAUACCUCUUAUGCACGCGAACCCAUAAAGAUGAUAUUUUUAUUAGUUAAAUGCAUAUAUCUAUUUCAAUUUGUUGAGGUUCAAUCAUGUAAUUGGUUGUAUCUCAAUAAUAUUACAUUAUAGACUAUAUGUAUUGUAUAUUUUUUCUUGUUAUCUAAUCAAAUGGUUGUCAAAAGAUUAAAUGAUUGGUAACUAAAUGUACAUGGAUGGUAGGAAUUGGGGACCCAUUCCAAAAUUUAUCCUAAAUGACAGCAGUUCAUGUCGGACUGAUGGUAGAUGUACUGAAAAUUAAUUAACAUUUGGCUCGACAGAUGAGAAAAUUAUUGUACUCUAUAUUUUACUUUUUAACGGAUUCACCAUUUUAUGGAUAUUUGGGUAUUUAUGCACGUGAGUCUUCAAAAUGUAUUUGCUGAUCAUCAGGUACAUAAAUCUUUAGCAUAACUGAAUCAAGUGUCCCGUGAAGCAUGAGACUAUUAAUAAAAAUAAAAGACGGGAUAUAAGCGGUGAAUAGAACUUAUUCUUGAUGCCACAAUGGUGACAUAGACUUUGUCUACCCAUAAGAUCUGAUAAUGAAUUAUUCAAUUCAAAUCAAUUAAAAUUUGUUGAUGCUAACCGUUAGAGUUUGAUUUGCUCUCAAAAUUUAAAAUGUCUGAGUAAGGUGAUGGGUCACAGUUUAUAUAGACAAAUAAGAAUUCGGUAGACUAUUGUUGGUCUGUUUAUGAAAACUAGUUUUUCGACACGUGUGUUGCACGUGAUUACCAAUUCAAAAAAUACAAGUUAUAGUAAAUAGUAUUUUUUUAUUUAAGUGAAGAUUUGAAUAAUAAAUUUUUCACAAAAUAAAAUUGUAGAUUUUUUUGUGAAUGUGCAAUGUGGAUCAUCAUAUAUACCUCUUAUUCACGCGAACCCAUGAAGAUGGUAAUUUUAUUAGUUAAAUGCAUAUAUUUAUUUCAAAUUGUUGAGGUUCAAUCAUGUAAUUGGUUGUAUCUCAAUAAUAUUACCUUAUAGACGAUAUGUAUUGUAUAUUUUUUCUUGUUAUCUAAUCGAAUGGUUGUUAAAAGAUUAAUUAAUUGGUAACUAAAUGUGCAUGGAUGGUAGAAAUUGGGGACCAAAUCCAAAAUUUAUCCUAAAUGACAGCAGUUCGUGUUGGACAGAUGGUAGAUGUACUGAAAAUUAAUUAACAUUUGGCUCGACAGAUGAGAAAAUUAUUGUACUCUAUAUUUUACUUUUUAACGGAUUCACCAUUUUAUGGAUAUUUGGGUAUUUAGUGUUUCUACACGUGAGUCUUCAAAAUGUAUUUGCUGAUCAUCAGGUACAUAAAUCUUAAGCAUAACUGAAUCAAGUGUCCCGUAAAGCAUGAGGCUAUUGAUAAACAUAAAAGACGGGAUAUAAGCGGUGAAUAUAGCUUAUGCUUGAUGCCACAAUUGAGACAUAGACCUUGUCUACCCAUAAGAUCUGAUAAUGAAUUAUUCAGUUCAAAUCAAUUUAAAUUUGUGGAUGCUAACCGUUAGAGUUCGAUUUGCUCUCAAAAUCAAUAAUGUCUGAGUAAGGUGAUGGGUCGCAGUUUAUAUAGACAAAUAAGAAUUCGGUAGACUAUUGUUGGUCCUUUUAUGAAAACUAGUUUUUCGACACGUGUGUUGCACGUGAUUACCAAUUCAAAAAAUAUAUGUUAUAAUAAAUAGUAUUUGUUUAUUUAAGUAAAGAUUUGAAUAAUAAAUUUUCCACAAAAUAAAAUUGUAGAUUUUUUUGUGAAUGUGCAAUGUGGAUCAUCAUAUAUACCUCUUAUGCACGCGAACCCAUAAAAAUGGUAUUUUUAUUAGUUAAAUGCAUAUAUCUAUUUCAAUUUGUUGAGGUUCAAUCAUGUAAUUGGUUGUAUCUCAAUAAUAUUACCUUAUAGACUAUAUGUAUUGUAUAUUUUUUCUUCUUAUCUAAUCAAAUGGUUGUCAAAAGAUUAAAUGAUUGGUAACUAAAUGUGCAUGGAUGGUAAGAAUUGGGGACCAAAUCCUAUAUUUAGCCUAAAUGACAGCAGUUCAUGUCGGACUGAUGGUAGAUGUACUGAAAAUUAAUUAACAUUUGGCUCGACAGAUGAGAAAAUAUUGUACUCUAUAUUUUACUUUUUAACGGAUUCACCAUUUUAAGGAUAUUUGGGUAUUUAGUGUUUCUGCACGUGAGUCUUCAAAAUGUAUUUGUUGAUCAUCAGGUACAUAAAUCUUAAGCAUAACUGAAUCAAGUGUCCCGUAAAGCAUGAGACUAUUGAUGAACAUAAAAGACGGGAUAUAAGCGGUGAAUAGAACUUAUUCUUGAUGCCACAAUAGAGGCAUAGACCUUGUCUACCCAUAAGAUCUGAUAAUGAAUUAUUCAAUUAAAA